CCCUAGUAACGGCGAGUGAAGCGGCAACAGCUCAAAUUUGAAAUCUGGCGCAAGCCCGAGUUGUAAUUUGUAGAGGAUGCUUCUAGGUAGCGACCGGUCUAAGUUCCUUGGAACAGGACGUCAUAGAGGGUGAGAAUCCCGUAUGUGACCGGCCCGCACCUUCUACGUAGCUCCUUCGACGAGUCGAGUUGUUUGGGAAUGCAGCUCUAAAUGGGAGGUAAAUUUCUUCUAAAGCUAAAUACCGGCCAGAGACCGAUAGCGCACAAGUAGAGUGAUCGAAAGAUGAAAAGCACUUUGGAAAGAGAGUUAAAAAGCACGUGAAAUUGUUGAAAGGGAAGCGCUCACAACCAGACUUCUGGGCGGUGUUCCGCCGGUCUUCUGACCGGUCUACUCGCCGUCCCGAGGCCAACAUCAUCUGGGACCGCUGGAUAAGACCUCAGGAAUGUGGCUCCCCUCGGGGAGUGUUAUAGCCUGUGGUGAUGCAGCGCGUCUCGGGUGAGGUCCGCGCUUCGGCAAGGAUGUUGGCGUAAUGGUUGUCAGCGGCCCGUCUUGAAACACGGACCAAGGAGUCUAACAUCUAUGCGAGUGUUCGGGUGUCAAACCCCUACGCGUAAUGAAAGUGAACGGAGGUGGGAAGGGCAACCUGCACCAUCGACCGAUCCUGAUGUCCUCGGAUGGAUUUGAGUAAGAGCAUAGCUGUUGGGACCCGAAAGAUGGUGAACUAUGCCUGAAUAGGGUGAAGCCAGAGGAAACUCUGGUGGAGGCUCGCAGCGGUUCUGACGUGCAAAUCGAUCGUCAAAUUUGGGUAUAGGGGCGAAAGACUAAUCGAACCAU
rnacentral:rRNA from 1 species